AGUGAACGCUGGCGGUAGGCCUAACACAUGCAAGUCGAACGGCAGCACAGUAAGAGCUUGCUCUUACGGGUGGCGAGUGGCGGACGGGUGAGGAAUACAUCGGAAUCUACUUUUUCGUGGGGGAUAACGUAGGGAAACUUACGCUAAUACCGCAUACGACCUACGGGUGAAAGCAGGGGAUCUUCGGACCUUGCGCGAUUGAAUGAGCCGAUGUCGGAUUAGCUAGUUGGCGGGGUAAAGGCCCACCAAGGCGACGAUCCGUAGCUGGUCUGAGAGGAUGGACCGCCAACAUGGAACUGAGGAGCGGUCCCGGCACCUACGGAAGGCCGAAGUGGGGAAUGUUGGAAGAAGGGGGGAAGCCUGAACCAGCCAUACCGGGUUGGUGAAGAAAGGCUUCGGGUUGUAAAACCCUUUUGUUGGGAAAAAAAAGCAGCAGGUUAAUACCCCGCUGUUCUGACGGUACCCAAAGAAUAAGCACCGGCUAACUUCGC
rnacentral:rRNA from 1 species